CCUACGGGUGGCAGCAGUGAGGAAUAUUGGUCAAUGGCCGUGAGUCUGAACCAGCCAAGUAGCGUGAAGGAUGACUGCCCUAUGGGUUGUAAACUUCUUUUAUGUGGGGAUAAAGUUGUCCACGUGUGGCUUUUUGUAUGUACCUUAUGAAUAAGGAUCGGCUAACUCCGUGCCAGCAGCCGCGGUAAUACGGAAGAUCCGGGCGUUAUCCGGAUUUAUUGGGUUUAAAGGGAGCGUAGGUGGGUUGUUAAGCGAGGUGUGAAAGUUUGAGGCUCAACCGUAAAAUUGCCGUUGAUACUGGCAGUCUUGAGUACAGUGGAGGCAGGCGGAAUUCGUGGUGUAGCGGUGAAAUGCUUAGAUAUCACGAAGAACUCCGAUUGCGAAGGCAGCUUGCUGGACCGUAACUGACACUGAGGCUCGAAAGUGUGGGUAUCGAACAGGAUUAGAUACCCGGGUAGUC
rnacentral:rRNA from 1 species